CUGUUAUUUUCGUGAGUCUAGUUUGUAUCUCCCUGUCACUUGAGUUGUUCGGGACUGACAUUCAUUCCCAGUUUAUAUCUGGACAGUUAUAACCUCCAGUUAGCAUGAUGUUGGUGUUUGUAUUUGACAUCAUUUGUAAAGAUUUCUCUAGUUCGUCUAGGCAUUUCAUGUUUCUAUGUGGCAUGUAUAAUGACCCAAUUUAGCAGUUCUUUUUUGGCUUUAACGUGUAUUUUUACCCAUUCUAUCUCACAGUUGGUGACUAGACUGGACUGUUCAACUGAUAUGAUGUCCUUGUGGACCAAGAUGAAGACUCCCC
rnacentral:lncRNA from 1 species